rnacentral:rRNA from 1 species
UCAUAGAAUUUUUUUAAAUUCAUGAUGUCGUAAGGGAAAAUAAUGAUAAUACCUUACUAUGAGUGUCGUCCAAAGCUGGUGCCAGAAGACUCGGUAAGACCAGAGACGCAAACGUUAAUCAUCAUAAACAGGCGUAAAGGGUUUGUAGGCGGCUUUUAUAAGGUUAUGAUUGCACAAAAAGAAAGGGUAAUCUACAUUGAAAGCUAGAAUCAAAAAGAGGUUAUAGUGUAUAACGCCUAGAGGAGGGCUGAUAUCCUUAGAUCCUAGGCAGAAUACUCAGGGCGAAGGCCACUCUCCACUAAUGAUUGACGCUGAGAAACGAAGGUUAGGGUAGGAAAUAGGAUUAGAUACCCCGGUACUCCUUUCUGUAAACGAUGAAUGGUAGUCAUUAGUUAAAUUAAAUAACUAGAGGCGAAGUUAACACAAUAACCAUUCCGCCUUGUGAGUACUACUGCAAAGUAGAAAACAAAAAAAUUAGUCGGUCUCGAAGCAAACGGAGUGAAGCAUGUUAUUUA